CAUAGCUGAAAAUCGUCAUGGCUGUGUCCAUGACUGUGGGUGAGAUUUGAUAUCCACAGUCACCUCGGGCUUCAGCUUACCCCCCAUUGCCUGGCGUGGGGGAUGAAACCCAGGCCAUUACAGAU